AGGAAGCGACUUUUCCCACUGAUGGGCUUUGUCUCCUAGAGAGAAUGGAAACAAUCUGAGCUUGAAGCCAUCCUCACUAACUCCAUUUAUCUUUG
rnacentral:sRNA from 1 species